rnacentral:rRNA from 1 species
ACAAGUUGACAAGAGCAUCGGGUGGAUGCCUUGGCGUCGGAAGGCGAUGAAAGACGUGGUAAGCUGCGAAAAGCCUCGGGGAGAAGCUAAACAUUCUGUGAUCCGGGGAUUUCUGAAUGGGGAAACCCGGCGGAGGUCAUGCUCCGUCGCGGGCACUUGAAUACAUAAAGUGUCCAGCGCCAACUCAGGGAAGUGAAACAUCUCAGUACCUGAAGGAAAAGAAAUCAAACGAGACUCCCAAAGUAGCGGCGAGCGAAAUGGGAUGAGCCCAAACCGGCUGGAUUCGUUCAGCCGGGGUUGUAGGGCCGGCAUAUGUGAUUCAUGAGUAGGCAGGGGAAAUGAGCUGGAAAGCUCUGCCAGAGCGGGUGACAGCCCCGUACCUGAAACCCAAAGCGACACAGCCGGUACCUGAGUACCGCGAGACACGUGGAACCUCGUGGGAAUCCGGGAGGACCAUCUUCCAAGGCUAAGUACUAACCGACGACCGAUAGUGUACCAGUACCGUGAGGGAAAGGUGAAAAGAACCUCUGUUAGAGGAGUGAAAUAGAAUCUGAAACCUGGUGCUUACAAGCUGUGAGAGCGGACUUGUUCCGUGAUCACGUGCCUUUUGCAUAAUGAGUCAGCGAGUUAAUCUGUACUGCAAGGUUAAGCGUGAGUGGAGCCGUAGGGAAACCGAGUCUGACAAGGGCGAUGAGUAGUGCGGAUUAGACCCGAAACCGGGUGAUCUAUCCAUGAGCAGGUUGAAGCAAGGGUAAAACCUUGUGGAGGACCGAACCAAUACCGGCUGAAAACGGUUUGGAUGACUUGUGGAUAGGGGUGAAAGGCCAAUCAAACCCGGUGAUAGCUGGUUCUCCCCGAAAUAUAUUGAGGUAUAGCCUCAUGGAUUGUCUACCGGAGGUAAAGCACUGACAGGGCUAGGGGUCCUACCAGAUUACCAAACCCUAUCAAACUCAGAAUGCCGGUCAGAUGUACCAUGGGAGUCAGACGGCGGGUGCUAAGGUCCGUCGUCGAGAGGGUAAGAGCCCAGAUCAACAGCUAAGGUCUCCAAAUCUAUGCUCAGUGGUUAAGGUGGUGACGUUGUAGAGACACCCAGGACGUUGGCUUAGAAGCAGCCAUCGUUUAAAGAAAGCGUAAUAGCUCACUGGUCUAAUGACGUUGCGCCGAAAAUGUAACGGGGCUAAGCAUAGUACCGAAGCUUUGAAUUCCGCGAAUGCGGUCUGGUAGGGGAGCGUUCUUCACGGGCUGAAGGUGUGUCGUAAGGCAUGCUGGACUGUGGAGAAGUGAUUAUGCUGACAUGAGUAACGAUAAAACGGGUGAAAAACCCGUUCGCCGUAAACCCAAGGUUUUCCGGGUAAAGGUAAUCUUCCCGGAGUUAGUCGGCCCCUAAGGCGAGGCUGAAAGGCGUAGCUGAUGGGAAACGUGUUAAUAUUCACGUACUUGUGUGUUCGCGCGAUGAAGGGACGCAGGAAGAUAGGCAAGCCGGGCGCUGGUUGUCCCGGUGCAAGCGUGUAGGGAUGAGAAGUUGGCAAAUCCGCUUCUCUCUAUCCUGAGACGCGAGUCCGUGACCGAAAGGUCUGAAGUUGUUGAGUCUAUGCUGCCUAGAAAAGCUUCUAAGUAUAGGACACGCAAACCGUACCGGAAACCAACUCAGGUGGGUGGGAUGAAUAAUCCAAGGCGCUCGAGAGAACUCUGGCCAAGGAACUCGGCAAAAUAACCCCGUACCUUCGGAAGAAGGGGUGCUUUUUAGGGUGAAGCGAUUCACUCUGUCGAGCCCUGAAAAGCCGCAGAGAAAUGGUGGUGGCGACUGUUUACUAAAAACAUAGGUCUGUGCCAAGUCGUAUAGACGACGUAUACGGACUGACGCCUGCCCGGUGCUGGAAGGUUAAAAGGAGGAGUCAGCGCAAGCGAAGCUCCGAAUUGAAGCCCCAGUAAACGGCGGCCGUAACUAUAACGGUCCUAAGGUAGCGAAAUUCCUUGUCGGGUAAGUUCCGACCUGCACGAAUGGCGUAACGAUCUCCACACUGUCUCGGCCAGAGACUCGGUGAAAUUGAAGUCGCGGUGAAAAUGCCGUGUACCCGCAGAAAGACGGAAAGACCCUGUGCACCUUUACUAUAGCUUGACAUUGGGAUUUGAGCCUGCAUGUGUAGCAUAGGUGGGA